GGGUCCAUAGUUUAGUGGCAGAAUAUUCGGCUCCAAACCGAAUGGCCCGGGUUCGAUUCCUGGUGGGCCCG
rnacentral:tRNA from 1 species